UCACCGCGGCCCAAAGUACGAGGGCUCCUAUUGGCCAGCGAGGAGCCCCGCCCUGACUGAUGGCAGCCUGCAGGAUGACUCAGUGCGGGACUUUCCAUGGAGCCGCCUGACCAGGUGACUUUUCCAAGUGAACCUGGAUAAAAAACCUCAGUCAUGGUGACCAAGCAACGUUGGGUGACGUCAUCUGUCAUGCGCAGACUCACCGGGCAAAGAGGGCUGGGUCGCGGAGGCAGCAGUCUAAGCAAAGAUGUUCAGACCUCCUGAUCCACACACACUUCCUCCAGCUGCUCUUGGAGACCCUGAGGCAACACCAGGCCAGCUCAGAGACAUGGUCCCUCCAGUGUGUCGUGGGCCUUCCAUGAGGCCUCCUCCCAAUAGGACAUGGAAGGAACACCUCCUGAGUAAGGCGACCACCUCAGCUGGCUCCUUUCGACGUGGAGGAGCAACGACUCUACUCCGAGCUCCUCACCCGAUCUCGAAGAAAAGGAGGAGGGGAAAAGUACAACUGAGGAGCGAAAACAUUAACAUCAAGGAACACUUUCACAUGAAGCCAUGGCCCAAAAAUCAGAUAAAUACAAAUUUAUCUCAUCUAA